CUCUUCUCCCCCUCGCGGCUGGCUUGCCCUAACCGCCGCAGCGGUUUCUUCUCCUCUCCUUUUAUUUCUUUAUCUUUUCCAUCCCGAGCCGCACCACCGACGUCCUCUUCCUCUCGCGUCUCCCAAUCGCCACGGUCGACGCUGGCAGACGAGAGCAACGCUGAGCCCUAGCCUCUCAGCAGUCCCCGAGCCAAUCGCCAGCACCCGAGCCCUCGCCUCUGUCUGACUUCCCCUCUUCCCGAGUCGUCGCUAUGCAGGUGGAUCUCUGUUCUUACCUUCGUCGGCAAGGGCACGCUGUGCCCUAGCAGUGUCGCCGACCCUUCCCUGUGCCCUAGCGUCGUUGUCGUGCCACAACCAAUCCACCACCGGCGCACCCGUGCCCUAGCACUGUCGUCGGAUCCUUAAUCACCGCUGACCAGUGGAGAGGAAGAGUAUGGUUGCUAGUUGCUUCAAUGGUGAACGACACAGUGAGGUUCCAGUAGGGGUUCUUGGCUGAGGGUUAAUUCCUGUUUCUUGAUCUUGCUUAGACUAGUCGGUGGAUUCCUACUCAAGCAGCAACCUCUAUUUCCAGCAGAAUCUUGGUCCAGCAGUCGUAAGGUUGAUGUUGUCCGGAGAGUUCGAGUCGCUAGUCCCCUGCAGUCCACGAGGACGUGUGUUGAUCUUUUAGUUCUUCUUGUUUAGACUAUCACUACAACAAAACCCCUCAUAGACAUCGGUUUUCCACCGCUGUCUAUUACAUUUUCGAUCGAUGUC